GGGGAGGUCGCCUCUGGAGCAGGAGGAGGAGCCCGCAGGGUGUAGCGGGCUCCCUACCAGUCCCUUCAGCGUCGCUUGGGGCUAUCGGUCCCGCUACACCUCAGAGCUGGAAACUGCCUUUAGUUAUCCCGUAGGCUAUUUGAGCUCCAAGCGUGGGAACCAGAGGGGAGAUAGUAAUAGUAGACUAGGUGGAGCUUGAGCAGAAGUGAGAAUACUGGCUGGCGGUUCUUUUUAAAAAAGGAACCCAUACUGGACUCACCUGUAACUCCAGCUCUGGGGGAACCCAUCUUUAUAUAUGUGGCACAACUGUCAUACACAAAUACAUAUACCAUACAUAAAUGUAUGACAUAUAUUUGCAUGACAGUGAAGACCAGGCAUGGAAACAUGAACACUGAGCAAUAAGUCAGGAUGUUUGACAAUUAAAAUAUAGAUAAUGUGUGUGUGUGUACAAGAGAGCUCUACAACCAGGUGAAAAAAGGCUUGGCACAAAUGAUUCAGGUGUUUGUCACAGAACUGGGUGAUAUUUUUCCAUACUCAAAUACCGGAAGAGUCUUACUAUGCAGCCUACACAAGAACUUGUGAUUCUCAUGCCUCAGCUUCCUGAUGGGAUUACAGGCAUGGGACCAUGUUACAACUCUGCUGACACUGUUUCAACAAAAAGAACCAAAUCUUUUUUCGGAAGAUUGUAUUUACUUAUAAAAAUAUAAAACAGAUGGCUUGCAAGACUGAAUCAAAAUUGACCUUGAUGACAGAACACAUUUUUCAUCUUUAUAUUUAAGAUCUACCAGUUUACCAUAAGCAAUCAAUAAAUGCUAAGAAUAUCCAAGAAUCUUACGUUAUAAUUAUAACACUU